AGGAGCAUGGUGGAAUUGGUAGACACGGUGGAUUUAGGAUCCAUUGACAUAAAGUCGUGCAGGUUCGAGUCCUGUUGCUCCUA
rnacentral:tRNA from 1 species